GACGAACGCUGGCGGCGCGCCUAACACAUGCAAGUCGAACGAGCGAGAGAGAGCUUGCUUUCUCAAGCGAGUGGCGAACGGGUGAGUAACGCGUGAGGAACCUGCCUCAAAGAGGGGGACAACAGUUGGAAACGACUGCUAAUACCGCAUAAGCCCACAGGUCGGCAUCGACCAGAGGGAAAAGGAGCAAUCCGCUUUGAGAUGGCCUCGCGUCCGAUUAGCUAGUUGGUGAGGUAACGGCCCACCAAGGCAACGAUCGGUAGCCGGACUGAGAGGUUGAACGGCCACAUUGGGACUGAGACACGGCCCAGACUCCUACGGGAGGCAGCAGUGGGGAAUAUUGCACAAUGGGGGAAACCCUGAUGCAGCGACGCCGCGUGGAGGAAGAAGGUCUUCGGAUUGUAAACUCCUGUUGUUG
rnacentral:rRNA from 1 species